GGGAAACUCAUUUGAACCCAACAGAACUCCUUUCCUGGGGGCCCCUGAGGAGGCUGUCAUCCCAACUCAUGCUCACUCAAGGAAGUACCAGCUGGUGAUCUUGGUGGCAUUGGCAACGGAGCCUCCCCAGUGGCUUCCAGCAAGUCACUGGGGCCUUGCCCAUGGGGGAACUGACAAGGAGGAAGGUCGCACCUGCCAUUGGAAACCAGAGAGACAGCUUCUGUGCACCCAAGAGACUCCUUGGAGGCUCCAAGGGAGAAAUACUACCAUGGGAUGGUUACUGUAGACUGACAUGGUUUGAGAAUAGAGAGAAAAAAAUGUAUUAUUAAAAACCCAA
rnacentral:lncRNA from 1 species